CGCGGGGUAGAGCAGAUGGUAGCUCGUCGGGCUCAUAACCCGGAGGUCGCAGGUUCAAGUCCUGUCCCCGCAA
rnacentral:tRNA from 1 species